rnacentral:rRNA from 1 species
AUGGCGGAUUCCAUGCUGCCAUUGCCCCCGCUGCAUUGCCUGGCUCUCUCGUUUGCCCAGCUGCUGCUGCUGCUUCUCCUUACUUCCACGCAAGCCGAGGGCCAUGCCACACCAGCAGCACGGCACUACACUUCGCUGAGAUCCCAAGCGGGGGUGCUUCUCCACUGGAAAUCAUCAAUCGAAUAUUCCAAGCACAUGGGAACCUGGAGAGACGAUGGCAUGUACCCAUGCAACUGGACUGGCAUCACCUGCGGUGACACUCGGCUGCAUGGAGGAACCACGGUGAAGGUCAUCAGAGGAAUUUCCCUUGUUGGUGCCGGCAUUGCAGGGAAACUGGACACCCUGAGAUUCCAGUCGCUCCCUUACCUCAUCAAACUCGACCUCAGCGACAAUCAUCAUCUCUCUGGUGCCAUCCCACCUGGCAUCGGCUCUCUUUCCAUGCUUUUCACCCUCAACUUCUCUGGUGAUCAGCUUAGUGGGCACAUACCUGCAACAAUCUGCAACCUUGGGAGGCUUGCACAUCUGGACCUCUCCAGCAACAAUCUGGCUGGCCAAAUCCCUCCUGCCUUCGGUAAUCUCUCAAGACUUGCUUUUCUCUAUCUACCUGGCAAUAGGCUCUCAGGUAGCGUCCCAUGGAACCUAGGACAGCUUCAGAACAUGAGAGAGAUGGAUUUGAGCUGGAAUAUCCUUUCUGGCCAAAUACCUUCCUCCUUUGCAAACCUGAGGAACCUCAACGCUCUUGGUCUUUCUGAUAAUCGUCUGUCAGGACCCAUACCUGAAGAGCUAGGACAAGUCCAAACCCUACAAGUGCUAUACUUGCAAAAAAACAGGCUGAACGGUGCAAUUCCGCCCUCCCUUGGAAACCUCACAAUGCUCACAUUCUUGUACCUAUAUCGGAACCAGCACACUGGUCAGAUCCCGGUAGAGCUAGGGACGCUCUCGAGCUUGAUUGAAUUUGAUUUGUCAGAGAACCAUUUGACCGGCACUGUUCCUUUUUGUGUUGCUGGAAAUCUUACUUCACUGGCCUAUUUUUCUCUUUGGGGUAACCACAUAACCAAAUCCAUCCCUCAUGAGUUUGGAAAUCUCGUGAAUCUGAAAUCCUUGACCUCUCUGAAAAUUUCAUAG